rnacentral:misc_RNA from 1 species
UUUUCUGUUUUAAGCUUAUCCAACAUUGCAUGAUCAACUACAGGAACCUCCUGUAUAACAGGAACAAUCUCUUUGGCCUUUUUGGCAGCCUCCCGUUCCUUUACGAGCAUCACUUUAGUUUCUUUGAACUGAAGUUGCAUUUCUUGUAAAGCAGACUGCAGUUUUGCAUUCUUUUGUGUUUUAGCUUCUUCCAUAUCAGCCCUCAUGCGUUUCUCCAGCUGAAGUCUCCAUGUCAAUUCUUCAACCUGCUUUUCCAAUUUAUUUUUGGCAGCUUGAAGAGCACCAGUUUCCCUU